GAACUCCUGACCUCGUGAUUGGCCCGCCUUGGCCUCCAAAUAUUGCUUUUUUUAAAAAAGCUCUGGUGAUCACAGAUGCUCAUGUCAACAAGCCUCCAUUAUCUCACAUCCCUGAGUCACUCCAAGGGCAGAUUGAUCUAAUGAUCUACGUAGGACAUGUACACGAAAUGCAAACUUUCCAUUUGUCAAGCAAGCAAAAUUUUGAAGUUACUUUAUACUGCGGAAUUACUGACCCCACUGUGACUGUCAGAAUAACAACAUGUGUCUUCAUUCGUUUCUGUAAUAACUGUGCUACCCUACCUGAUAUCUUCUGAAUAAAAGGAUAUCUAAACACUUGGACUCUGUUACCAUCUUUCCUUCAAAAUACCAUGUUAUUGAUUCUGUAUUUUAAAUUCCUCUAUUUUAAAUAUACUGAUUUUAAUAGUCAAGGCUUAUUAACCAUUAUCCAUAUGUCC
rnacentral:lncRNA from 1 species